UUGCAAUUUUCCAAAUUAAAAAUAGCUUCAUCGGCGAUCGCUCUUCUUCUCGGGUCGCCUGAGCAAAACUCUCAAACUAAGCAAUAACAGAGAAAGGGGUUUUGGUUAUCAACUCGUAGUGAUUCGAUUGGGCCCGUGCGAACUCGACUGCGUCGAUUCAUCGCUCUUAGAUCAGUGGCUCCACCCAAUUUUACUUGGAAAUGGGUUUAUGGACACUGCUGGAGGGAUGUCUGCUUCUUGCCAAUGCAUUGGCAAUACUAAAUGAAGACCGUUUUCUUGCUCCUAGAGGCUGGAGCUUCCAGGAAUAUUCGGGCAUUAAGAGAAAUUCUUUCAAGGGGCAGAUUCUCGGUCUUAUUUAUGCAACCCAGUACUUGAGAGUUCCUCUCUUGCUUCUCAACAUUCUUUGCAUUGUUGUAAAGCUUGUAUCUGGAUAACCAACCUUUAGGUCAGUUGAUAUCAAGCAGACAUUCAAGUUUAUCGAUGGAACAGAAUCCUUCCAACUCCAGGAAAAGCAGAAAUAGAAGAACGUGUUUUGUCCAUGAUAACAACGAUCCUGUUAGAGUUUCUUUCUCUCUUCUUGAUGUAUUACUUCUAGAUUUGUAAGUUGUGCCAGGAUGAAACAAUUUUCUGAGGUUGCUGUAUUAUACAUUGUUAAGACAUCAAUUAGUUUCCAAUUGUUUGAAUACUUCUGCUCUUUUCAUAUUCAGAGUUCAUCUUUCUUGGAACUAAGCUUGUAGUUUAUGCUGGGAUGAUUCUUCUUCCUGUCCAAUAGCCCAAUUUGUUAACUUCCUGUGCCA